AAGCUCGUAGUUGAAUUUCGAGACCGGUCUACUGGUCGUGCUUUUGUACGUACUGGUAUAAUCGGUUUCUCUCUUCUGACGAACUAUAAUGCCAUUAAUUUGGUGUUUUAGGGAAUCAGGACUGUUACUUUGAAAAAACUUAGAGUGUUUAAAGCAGGCUCGCGCUUGAAUACAUUAGCAUGGAAUAACGAAUAGGACGUUUGAUUUUAUUUGUUGGUUUCUAGGAUCGACGUAAUGAUUAAUAGGGAUAGUUGGG
rnacentral:rRNA from 1 species